GGGUUGUGAGGUUAAGCGACUAAGCGUACACGGUGGAUGCCCUGGCAGUCAGAGGCGAUGAAGGACGUGCUAAUCUGCGAAAAGCGCCGGCGAGGUGAUAUGAACCUUUGACCCGGCGAUGUCCGAAUGGGGAAACCCAGUGUGUUCCGACACACUAUCGUUAACUGAAUACAUAGGUUAACGAGGCGAACCGGGGGAACUGAAACAUCUAAGUACCCCGAGGAAAAGAAAUCAACCGAGAUUCCCCCAGUAGCGGCGAGCGAACGGGGAGCAGCCCAGAGUCUGAAUCAGCUUGUGUGUUAGUGGAAGCGUCUGGAAAGUCGCACGGUACAGGGUGACAGUCCCGUACACGAAAGCACACAGGUUGUGAACUCGAAGAGUAGGGCGGGACACGUGGUAUCCUGUCUGAAUAUGGGGGGACCAUCCUCCAAGGCUAAAUACUCCUGACUGACCGAUAGUGAACCAGUACCGUGAGGGAAAGGCGAAAAGAACCCCGGCGAGGGGAGUGAAAAAGAACCUGAAACCGUGUACGUACAAGCAGUGGGAGCCUCUUUUAUGGGGUGACUGCGUACCUUUUGUAUAAUGGGUCAGCGACUUAUAUUCUGUAGCAAGGUUAACCGUAUAGGGGAGCCGAAGGGAAACCGAGUCUUAACUGGGCGUUAAGUUGCAGGGUAUAGACCCGAAACCCGGUGAUCUAGCCAUGGGCAGGUUGAAGGUUGGGUAACACUAACUGGAGGACCGAACCGACUAAUGUUGAAAAAUUAGCGGAUGACUUGUGGCUGGGGGUGAAAGGCCAAUCAAACCGGGAGAUAGCUGGUUCUCCCCGAAAGCUAUUUAGGUAGCGCCUCGUGAACUCAUCUUCGGGGGUAGAGCACUGUUUCGGCUAGGGGGCCAUCCCGGCUUACCAACCCGAUGCAAACUACGAAUACCGAAGAAUGUUAUCACGGGAGACACACGGCGGGUGCUAACGUCCGUCGUGAAGAGGGAAACAACCCAGACCGCCAGCUAAGGUCCCAAAGUCAUGGUUAAGUGGGAAACGAUGUGGGAAGGCACAGACAGCCAGGAUGUUGGCUUAGAAGCAGCCAUCAUUUAAAGAAAGCGUAAUAGCUCACUGGUCGAGUCGGCCUGCGCGGAAGAUGUAACGGGGCUAAACCAUGCACCGAAGCUGCGGCAGCGACGCUUAUGCGUUGUUGGGUAGGGGAGCGUUCUGUAAGCCGUUGAAGGUGUCCUGUGAGGGGUGCUGGAGGUAUCAGAAGUGCGAAUGCUGACAUAAGUAACGAUAAAGCGGGUGAAAAGCCCGCUCGCCGGAAGACCAAGGGUUCCUGUCCAACGUUAAUCGGGGCAGGGUGAGUCGACCCCUAAGGCGAGGCCGAAAGGCGUAGUCGAUGGGAAACAGGUUAAUAUUCCUGUACUUGGUGUUACUGCGAAGGGGGGACGGAGAAGGCUAUGUUAGCCGGGCGACGGUUGUCCCGGUUUAAGCAUGUAGGCGGAACGAUUAGGUAAAUCCGGUCGUUUAUUAACGCUGAGGUGUGAUGACGAGGCACUACGGUGCUGAAGUAACAAAUGCCCUGCUUCCAGGAAAAGCCUCUAAGCAUCAGGUAACACGAAAUCGUACCCCAAACCGACACAGGUGGUCAGGUAGAGAAUACCAAGGCGCUUGAGAGAACUCGGGUGAAGGAACUAGGCAAAAUGGUGCCGUAACUUCGGGAGAAGGCACGCUGAUAUGUAGGUGAAGCCCCUGCGGGUGGAGCUGAAAUCAGUCGAAGAUACCAGCUGGCUGCAACUGUUUAUUAAAAACACAGCACUGUGCAAACACGAAAGUGGACGUAUACGGUGUGACGCCUGCCCGGUGCCGGAAGGUUAAUUGAUGGGGUUAGCGGUAACGCGAAGCUCUUGAUCGAAGCCCCGGUAAACGGCGGCCGUAACUAUAACGGUCCUAAGGUAGCGAAAUUCCUUGUCGGGUAAGUUCCGACCUGCACGAAUGGCGUAAUGAUGGCCAGGCUGUCUCCACCCGAGACUCAGUGAAAUUGAACUCGCUGUGAAGAUGCAGUGUACCCGCGGCAAGACGGAAAGACCCCGUGAACCUUUACUAUAGCUUGACACUGAACACUGGUCCUUGAUGUGUAGGAUAGGUGGGAGGCUUUGAAGCGUGGACGCCAGUCUGCGUGGAGCCAACCUUGAAAUACCACCCUUUAAUGGCUGGUGUUCUAACGUAGACCCGUAAUCCGGGUUGCGGACAGUGUCUGGUGGGUAGUUUGACUGGGGCGGUCUCCUCCCAAAGAGUAACGGAGGAGCACGAAGGUUAGCUAAUCCUGGUCGGACAUCAGGAGGUUAGUGCAAUGGCAUAAGCUAGCUUGACUGCGAGAGUGACGGCUCGAGCAGGUGCGAAAGCAGGUCAUAGUGAUCCGGUGGUUCUGAAUGGAAGGGCCAUCGCUCAACGGAUAAAAGGUACUCCGGGGAUAACAGGCUGAUACCGCCCAAGAGUUCAUAUCGACGGCGGUGUUUGGCACCUCGAUGUCGGCUCAUCACAUCCUGGGGCUGAAGUAGGUCCCAAGGGUAUGGCUGUUCGCCAUUUAAAGUGGUACGCGAGCUGGGUUUAGAACGUCGUGAGACAGUUCGGUCCCUAUCUGCCGUGGGCGCUGGAGAAUUGAGGGGGGCUGCUCCUAGUACGAGAGGACCGGAGUGGACGCAUCACUGGUGUUCGGGUUGUCAUGCCAAUGGCACUGCCCGGUAGCUAAAUGCGGAAGAGAUAAGUGCUGAAAGCAUCUAAGCACGAAACUUGCCCCGAGAUGAGUUCUCCCUGAGACUUUAAGUCUCCUGAAGGAACGUUGAAGACUACGACGUUGAUAGGUCGGGUGUGUAAGCGCAGCGAUGCGUUGAGCUAACCGAUACUAAUGAACCGUGAGGCUUAACCUUACAACGCCGAAG
rnacentral:rRNA from 1 species